UCGAAUCUGGAUCUCGGGUUUGCCACACUCUUUGCAUUCCGAUCUUUGAUAUAUUAAGACGGCAACGUCGACGUCAUGAAUCUGUUCGUAGGGUUUUCUCUUGCAUCGUUUCAUCUUCAUCCCCAUUGACCGAAACGCUCCUGGUAACAUAUACAUCACCUUUAAGCCCUUCUUAACUCCAUCAACCAUGAUAUAUCAUUCAAUGUGAGCUUCUCUUAUGCUCCCCCUUGCUUUCAGUCGGUGAAUAUAUAAAUAGAGGACAAUGGCAAACUCCUCUCGCUACGAGCUACGCAUAUGAGAGGAAGCCUAAGACUUCCCGGAGGUAAGACAAUCGUCGGAAAUGAGUGUGGAACAGUUGGAGGAGGAAAGCGGCGGUGGCGACAGGGGAGAGGAGGAGGAUGAAGGCGGUGAAUGAAAAAAGAGAAAGACAUUGAUGAUGGUGAAGAGGAUAAAGAGAAGAGAUCAUUAAUGGAGAGUGGGACGAAACAAACGCCGGUGACAAGGAUAUCUAUGGAAACACCGAGGACACUGACCUCAAGAAUUGGGACGCCAAGUUCGUCAAAUUUGAUCAGCCUACGUUAUUAGAUCUCAUCUUGAGCCGGCAAAAGUCUAUAACUUUUCCGGAGCCAAUAGCCGGCGAGUUACACGAAAACACCCGGAGCCGAGGGUUUAACCUAACAAACUCCAGAAACUUACAAAGACAAAAGGAGAAAAAUGAUAAAUAAGGCAGGCUGGAGCAGCACAUUAAACUUCAAGCGCGGUGAAGAACAUCAAUAUUAGAAGCAAAAUUAAGCAAGAAAGCAAUGCAGGCCUAAAUUAUUGGGGUUGAACGCCAAUCUUCUAACACAGUUCCACCAUAUAUAGAACCACAAACCAAAACAAGACUUACCUAUACUUCAUCAACAUAAGCCAAAGAAAGGACACAUCUUCAAACCGAGCAGCCAACGAAGAGAAAUGUUUGGCAAUCGACUACUCAAAGACCAACCACAAUUGAGCAUAAAGCUCCUCGGACCCUUACCAAGUAAUCCGGAAAACCCGUAGGUUGCAUACCAAGGGACCGCACAACUUCACUACACCGAAGCUACACCGCUGAAAUCAUUAACUAACCACACAGGAAGGCGAUGAGAACAUACCAGAGACGACACAAGAGUAGAAACUGAAAGCCUCAAGAGGGGAGCCAAGCCAAGAUCCAUAGUCCAGCGAACCUAACCGAAGACCCAAACAAGCUCCUUCUUACAAUGUCGCACAACCAAACCAGCUCCAUGACGCCAAAAGAAAUCAAAUUCUCCUUCAUAAUACACAAGACUUGUGACAAAUCUUCAAUUCCUCCAAGAGACGAGGAUGAGGUGCUGCAACCGGAAGGGAGAGCCAAGAGACUUCUGAUGCCUUUCUUGAGAGACAGUCAGGCCAAACCCAAGAAAAUGAAGACCCCACAUCUGAACCGGCUAAAUACGACCACCGCGUACCAGAAAAUAGAUAAGGUUUAAAGCCUUCAGUCUCAGCCAAGCAUAGAACGACCAGAAGAAACAGAGCAACAACACUGAAAGAUCUCAAACGAGCAUUAACCGAACAGACCAGCCACAAAUACACUCAUCAAUUCUAAAAGAAAUUGAACAGCUAAAUACUAAACCACAAACUACGAGGAGCCAGAGACAAAGAUCAACCAACCAACUUGACGCAACACCCGAACCGGACUCAAAACCCCUCGAAUCAAAAGACAGCUUCUCUAAUCCCCACUGGCGGAAAAAACAUGCCCUGACAGAGAAGCCGACCUCACCGAGAACGAACCAUCACC